GUUUAGUAGUGGGGAGGUCAAAUUAUUUAAAGCUUGAAUAUCAGAGUCAGGGAGAGACGAUAAAGAUGGUGGUAAGUCUAUCUCUACUGCAAAAUAUUUUAUAUAGUUCUGUUAUAUUUUUAUUUUUUGUUCUAUAAUGCAUUGCUAAUUUUAUUUCUAUUAUGUAGAUUGAUCAUUUGUCGGAUCUUAUAUUGGAUAUUCAUCAUGCUCUAUCUACGAC
rnacentral:lncRNA from 1 species